rnacentral:rRNA from 1 species
AUUGAACGCUGGCGGCAUGCCUUACACAUGCAAGUCGAACGGCAACAGGUCUUCGGAUGCUGACGAGUGGCGAACGGGUGAGUAAUACAUCGGAACGUGCCUAGUAGUGGGGGAUAACUACUCGAAAGAGUGGCUAAUACCGCAUGAGAUCUACGGAUGAAAGCAGGGGAUCGCAAGACCUUGUGCUACUAGAGCGGCCGAUGGCAGAUUAGGUAGUUGGUGGGAUAAAAGCUUACCAAGCCGACGAUCUGUAGCUGGUCUGAGAGGACGAUCAGCCACACUGGGACUGAGACACGGCCCAGACUCCUACGGGAGGCAGCAGUGGGGAAUUUUGGACAAUGGGCGAAAGCCUGAUCCAGCAAUGCCGCGUGCAGGAUGAAGGCCUUCGGGUUGUAAACUGCUUUUGUACGGAACGAAAAGCCCCGGGUUAAUACCCUGGGGUCAUGACGGUACCGUAAGAAGAAGCACCGGCUAACUACGUGCCAGCCGCCGCAGUAA